rnacentral:rRNA from 1 species
AGAGUUUGAUCCUGGCUCGCGCGAAUGUUGGCGGCGCGCCUAACACAUGCAAGUCGUGGGGCAGCAGGCUACUACCUUCGGGUAGUAGUGCUGGCGACCGGCAAACGGGUGAGUAACACGUAGCUUACCUACCCCAGGGUUGGGGAUAACCUCCCGAAAAGGUGGCUAAUACCCAAUAAUGAGGAAACUCCAAAGCCGCAAGGCGCCCUGGGAUGGGGCUGCGUCCCAUCAGGUAGUUGGUGAGGUAACGGCUCACCAAGCCUACGACGGGUAACCGGUCUGAGAGGAUGACCGGUCACAGUGGGACUGAGACACGGCCCGCACCCCUACGGGGGGCAGCAGUGGGGAAUAUUGGGCAAUGGCCGAAAGGCUGACCCAGCGACGCCGCGUGGCGGAUGAAGCCCUUCGGGGUGUAAACGCCUUUUCUUGGGGAAGACAAUGACGGUACCCAAGGAAAAAGGGACGGCUAACUACGUGCCAGCAGCCGCGGUAAUACGUAGGUCCCGAACGUUGCGCGAAAUUACUGGGCGUAAAGGGUCCGUAGGCGGUCUAUCAAGUGGAAGGUGAAAUCCCAUGGCUCAACCAUGGAACUGCCUUCCAAACUG